UGGUCGAGUGAUCCUGCGCCGAAGAUUUCCGGGGCUAAAACUUACUACCGAAGCUACGGCAUCAGUAAUGAUGGGUAGGGGAGCUUCCCAUACGGGGUGAAGCAUGACCGUAAGGACAUGUGGACAGUAUGGGAGUGAGAAUGUUGGCAUGAGUAGCGAGAUGUGGGUGAGAAUCCCACAGGCCGUAAACCCAAGGUUUCCAGGGGAAGGUUCGUCCGCCCUGG
rnacentral:rRNA from 1 species